CCUACGGGCGGCAGCAGUGAGGAAUAUUGGUCAAUGGACGAGAGUCUGAACCAGCCAAGUAGCGUGAAGGAUGUCUGCCCUAUGGGUUGUAAACUUCUUUUAUAUGGGAAUAAAAUGUUCCACGUGUGGGAUUUUGUAUGUACCCUAUGAAUAAGGAUCGGCUAACUCCGUGCCAGCAGCCGCGGUAAUACGGAGGAUCCGAGCGUUAUCCGGAUUUAUUGGGUUUAAAGGGAGCGUAGGUGGGUUGUUAAGUCAGUUGUGAAAGUUUGCGGCUCAACCGUAGAAUUGCAGUUGAAACUGGCAGUCUUGAGUACAGUAGAGGUGGGCGGAAUUCGUGGUGUAGCGGUGAAAUGCUUAGAUAUCACGAAGAACUCCGAUUGCGAAGGCAGUUCACUGGACUGCAACUGACACUGAGGCUCGAAAGUGUGGGUAUCAAACAGGAUUAGAUACCCCUGUAGUC
rnacentral:rRNA from 1 species